rnacentral:rRNA from 1 species
UACGGGGGGUGCAAACGUUGCUCGGAAUUAUUGGGCGUAAAGCGCACGUAGGCGGUCUUGUAAGUCGGGUGUGAAAGCCCGGGGCUUAACCCCGGAAGUGCACUCGAAACUGCAAGGCUUGAGUAUGGAAGAGGGUCUCGGAAUUCCCGGUGUAGAGGUGAAAUUCGUAGAUAUCGGGAGGAACACCGAUGGCGAAGGCGGCGACCUGGGUAGAUACUGACGCUGAGGCGCGAAAGCGUGGGGAGCAAACAGG